rnacentral:lncRNA from 1 species
AAGUUCGUUCAUCAUGCACAGUAAGUCCAUACUCGAUUGAUACAGGAGGAGAGCGGAUGAAAGCACGUCGUGGUUGCCGAGGAAUUUGCGUAAUGGCUUGCAUUCUCCGCGUAGGAAACGCCCCACCCACACCAUAUAUUUUUUGUACCUGUGAUAUGUCACCUGGCGAUCUUGGGCCAAUGUUGGCUCCUGGAUGGGCUGCUUACACAGUGACCUGCCAAUUGCCAGUGUGGUGGUCUGUAUCUCGAUAAAAUUAAAUGUUAGUUUGGGCCUUUUGUAUGUUAGCGAUAAAUGCACUAAAAGUUUUAGAAUUUCUAAUGAAAAUAUAAUCAAAUUCUAAAAUUUUCAGAAUGUGCAAUUAACCUUUUGUCGGGGCCGUCCCAAGGGCCUUAUUGAUGUAAUACUUUACUUGAGUUGACAUCUCACAUGGAUUGUCACGUUAGUAAUUUUCAGUGGUAAUUAGUUACUCUGUAAUUUUUCCCAAAUGUUACGAUAAAAUCGAAAACUUUAGGAUGUAAUCGCAAUCUGUAUAAUAGAUUUUCUACUCAGAUUAAUUUGGUAAUUUUUUAUAUAUUCAGUAGUAUUAAUUCCUUCCCGUGCCUUUUGUUCCGGUAUCGGCCUUCUGUCAGCCAUUCUCUUGUUCUCUCUCUCUCCUGAAAUCCAGAGUCGGUGAAAUCUUGAAGAUAACCAAAAUAUCUAGAUUCCCUCUUUUCAUAUUAACAACUGGAAAGUAGCCAAAUUUAACCGGAUUCGUCGGAUUCGUUGAAAUGCUUGAUGUCUGUGGUCAUGCACAAGCUACUGGAGAAAUCAGGUCUAGUUGUGAAUCCGGGUUCCGGUGAAAAUGCAGUGGAUAUUGACGGUGGGAAGAUGGUUACAAGGGCGCCAAAGAUGGGUGCUAUGGCAGAUGGUGGCAGUGGCCAGUGGCGGCGGUUACAUCGAGUGGCGGCAGUUUGGGAAAGGAGGAGGGAAAACGGAGAACGGAAUUGAUGGCGGAGCACUUGCUUGGCACCACGUAGGGGUGAGCGGUUCCCGGUUCCUUACAGGUUCCGCUUGAAACCUGGAACCUACCUUUGGGUACAGGUUUCUCAUUUUUUGGAACAUGAAACCUACUCAUCAGAAUCAAAAAUCUAGAACCUACCUUGUCAUAGCCCCUGUCACAAGUUCUAAGGUCAGUUCUAGGUUCCAACAUGUUCUUUUUUUCUUUUUUCUUUUCCAUUUUAAAAAAAAAUGGAAAUGAAUGCAGCAAUAAUAAACAAACUUGGCAUUCAUCAAAGAAAAUAUAACACGAACACAAUCUAUAAUACUCAUAAGCGUUUAAUAUUCUAAAAUGUGAACUAUUUCUCUUUUGCAAAGUCCAAUGGUUCACUUUCACAAAGUCCAGCCUUACCUUAGCAACAACCCUGCACCAAAAUAAAGUCAUAUUCCUCAUUGUUUUACAACUUCCAAUGACUUCAGCAACUUUAGUAACAAAGCUUUCAGGUGGAGCCGCAUGAAUAUCUCUCGGCAAUGUUGCAAUAAUGGUUUCUAAACCAGAACUGAUCUUUCUUCUGAGAAACUUUCCCUCUGCAAAUAUCUUGCAAAUAUUACAACAAAAGUGAAAGAUCAUCAUAGGAUAAUUUUAAAAAAGAACCGAUAAUUUUCUUAUAAAUAGAUGAGUAUUAUUUCAUGGACUAGUAAAUUUGAUAAUCUAAUUAUUGAUUUACCUGCAUCAAACAACAAACUAAUCAAAGAAUAGAGCUUCACUUCAUAUGGAAACUUAGAUAUGUUAUCUUCCUUUUCACAAAGCACAAGUGACCUCAUAGCAAAGAGACUUAGUCCUGCCCUUUCCUUGAUAGGAGAAGAACCUUUGUUUGUUGCAAGAAAAUCUUUCAUUGAGCUAAAUUUCUUCCCAUUCCUGGGAAAAGUUUCCAAAGAUGUCUAAGUGAUAGAAGAAAUAUAUAGAGCUAAAAGUUAUAAUGGUUAUAUGUAGAUAAUAUAGACUUACUCUAUAGCCAUAGUUAGUUGCUUGAUAACUGGUGAUGGAGGAAUUUUCUCUAUGUUACCAGCAAUUAGACCGUCCAAUAUGGAUAUAGACUCUGAACCCUAUCAAAACAUUUUUAAUCCAAAUUAGACAGCAAAACCAUAAACAUGUCAUCUUAAACCUCGAAGUCUGAUCUCCUACUGAAGUAAAAGAUAUUAAUUGUCAUCAUAACUAUAAACUAUUUGCAGCCAUUUCUGAUUUCACGCGAAAAGAACAGCUCAAGGCAUUAUUGCAGCAAACAGAUUAGGAUAUGAGAAAGCUAAAGAGAGAUUGAAGUACAAGAUUUUCUCUUAACCGCAAUGAAAAAUUACGGUAAAUGUACUGUGAGUAGGCAAUUGACUUCUCCACUGAUGAUUUUGCCAAACCAAUGAGGACUCUCUCUGUUCUCUAUCUACUGUACAUAUUUAACGUAUAACAAAAGCUUCACUGGUUAAUUCUUUUUUUGCCAAAAAAAAUUUUGCUAGUGUAAUAGUAGAUAUUUAGACAAUAAGAACACAUCUUAAAAUUAAUCAAUCUACUGUCCCAGAAUUGACAUUUUCUAUUGGCCAUUCAGGGACAUCUGAUGCAACGUGUUUAUACAUGUAAGCGAGUUGUCACAUCGAUGACUUCUAAGACAUCUAUGACUAAUGAUAAUAUGAGCUAGUAGUAACCAAUGAGUUAGCCAGCAGGUCACCAAACUCAAUUACUAUAACACAUGCAAAAAAUAAACAUUUUAAGUGUAAAAGAGUUGAAAGCACAAAAAAAAAAAAACUCACCCUUGAUUCAGAAUCAUUCUUCUCAUUCACUAUGUUUAGCUUCCCUCCUGUUGAACAUGAAAACCAAUAUGAGCAUCUCAUCACAUGAAUAACAUAAGACGAAUUAAACAUUAAAAGUGUGAAGAAGGAGAAACCUUAAAUGCUAGUAUUCUAGGAGCCGGAAAUCGUGAUUCUGUGAGUUCUUCAGCCAAAGUUCGGCAAGCCGCUAAAGUUGCUGCACUUUUCCCUUCGUUAGCAACAAGUUGGGCACCCUAUUCAUCAAUCAAUGGGAAAGAUGUUAACAAGCCAAUUAGAGAAGAAAGGCUACAAGAGUGACAUAUGAUAAUGGGAAUUCCAGAAUGUGCAGUGGGUUAGAUACUGAUAUCUAACCUUACAUUUUCCUGUCAUUCAUCAAGAUGUAUACUGUUGUGUUAAGAAGUUUAUAUGUGCACGAAGGUGCCAUCGAGGGGACGAGCGGCGUCCACUAGUGGCUUGGACGGCGAGUGGCAGAGCAGCGAGGCAAGCGAGGGGUGACACAUCGAGGGAGCAGGAGGCAAGGGCAAGACGAGCGCGGGGCGACUGGUGUCCAGCGGCGGCGUCGAGGGCGAACGGCGUCCGGUGGCAGCAUCGAGGGCGAGCGAGGCGGUGUUGAGGGUGAGUGGCGUCCAACAGUGGUGUCAAGGGCGAGCGACGUUGGCAACGGGCAGAGGUAGAGAAUGAGAGGGUUCGGUUCAAUUCUCAGGUUCUCGGGUGCUAACCUUUGCUUAAGCCUGAACCAAGACUCUUUAUAGGCAUACCAACACACACAACAAGCGUACCAGAAUGCACAUCAGCGUCAACGGAGAACCGGCAAGGUCGGAGUUCACAUAAGCUGAACGGCCGCGAACUCAGACCCCACGUGCCCAAAACAAGGCACGCACAGAUGAAGAAAGGCCUACCUGGGCCGGCGCGGUGCUGUGGCGGGCAGUGGUCGGUGGGCUGGCCUCUAGCGACGUGAGUCUCUUACUUCUUUCUUACAUAGACAAAGCGGACUACUCACUCUCUCUCUCAAUCCCUUGGUCUCUCUCGGUCUCACUCUCUGGCCAAGCCCAUGCACGGCUGAACCUCUCCCGCUCUCCCUCAGUUGCACGGAACUCUCCUUCUCGAUCUCUCUCCCUCAAGCUCAUCUCUCUCGCAGCCCAAAAUCUACGGAAAAACCAAAACCCCCCUUUGCUUUCCCUCUCUCUGUCACUCUCCCUUGCUUGGUCCCUCUCUCCCUCGACCAAAAAGGAACCCCUCAAAAGGAGUUUGGGACACCUGAAAUGUCAUAACUUGGCAUAGGAUGACACUUAAAUGUCAUAACUUCGAAAAAAAUACACUUACGUACUAGUUUUGAAGUUAAAUGGAACACUUAGGUGUCACUCCGGNNNNNNNNNNNNNNNNNNNNNNNNNNNNNNNNNNNNNNNNNNNNNNNNNNNNNNNNNNNNNNNNNNNNNNNNNNNNNNNNNNNNNNNNNNNNNNNNNNNNAUUGCGCAUGUUCAUACUCCAAUCAAGUUAGCAUAACCUUUGAGUGUGCAUAAGAGGACAUCCUUCAACAUAACUAUUACAGCUAUACGGAACUUCAAAUGAUGUGUCCCAUAUUUGGUUUUUGGAAGGUAUUGGGAUCCAUAUUACUAUAGGAGACGACGGUUACAAGUAGACGAUGACAGAAUGAACUUCAUUGAAUCUGUAUGUCAUGAUCAGUCAUCUUACAUUUUCUUCGUCCGUUUCUACCUUCAGGAGGAAAAGUGAGAUAACACUUUUUGAAUUCAUCUGCUGCAGGUUUUCUCUUUUGUAUUUGGCGAUGGUGAUCCAAAUCAAGGAAUUGAAGAAGAAAGGUGGAAGUUGGUAAUAUUUGAGCACUGAGUUCAGUGGUCCGUCGCUGUUAUCAUUAAUUUAAAUUAAUAUCAUUGUCUUCUUCUUGACUUGUUCAACUUGCAUAAGUGAGAACUAAUAUCUGGAACUAAAGUAGUAAGCCUCUUGAAUCGCCAAGGACGUUGUUGGAGCGCACCAUGUAACACAGGAACUCAAUGAUUGGAAGAUCCAAACGACCUAGCAUCCUUACCAUGUUUACCUUUAGCGACUAUUUAUGCCUUGUGUGUUACUAUUAUCUAUGCUUUUAAUUGUGUAACCAUAUGUAUCUAUAAAGUACCCUGCAUGUUUAUCCAAAAGAAAAAAAGAAAAUCUUAAGCAAUGCAUUAAUGCUAAAUAAUGUAGACUAUCAAUAGAAGUGAAACCUUGAAACUCGAUGCUAAAUGAUGUAUUACUUUUGAAUGUUUCUGCAGAUUGGUCAAUAUAUUUCAUCUAAUGGUGGUGUUGUUGCGGCUGAAGAACUUGCUCCUUAUCUUGAUGUAGAAAAGACAACAGAUAUGGUAUGUAGUAGCUGGGUCAUGGUGUAUAUCUGAUUCUUAUGUCCAGAUAGAAGUUAUAUCCAGUUGUUGUCAUGGCUCUGUUAUCAUUUAAUUAGUUUUUGAGGGAUGCCUUCUCUAUACUUCAUCAUUUUGAUCUUACAAGAAGAGAAAUGAUAGAUAAAAGAAGUUCCAUGUGCAAAAUUAAGCUCGAAUGAUGGACAAUGCUUCAGACAAUCUUUUCCAUUUUAUGUUGGUGAUAUGCAUAUUCUGAUCAAUCGGUUGGUUCAUUUACUUAAGAGUAUGUUAUCUCCUUAAGUUCGUUUCUUUGACUAUUCUUUGCAUGAGAUUAUCUGAUUUUGAAAUUAAUGGAAUGAUUGAUCCUCAUAUGGAGCUCUGAGUCUUCUAUUUUGAGAGAAUGAAUUAUUUCUCCUUUUUAAAUGUUGUGCAGAUCCUAAAUGAGUUUUGUUUUAUAUUAUCAUGAGUGGCCUUUAUGAGUUUUAUGGGUCUGUAUAUGGUCCAUGUCAACUGUCAUUAAAGAAUUAUGCACUGAUUGAGCUCUCUCCUAUCUUUUUCCAGAGUGAUGAAUCAUACAUCCUACCUGUACUUUUGCGUUUUGAUGGACAGCCAGAAAUUGAUGAAGAGGUAUUGUUAAAUGCCAAUUAAACACUCGAUAUCUGGGAUAUUUCCUCCUAAAAGUACAUGUUAAUUUGGGUAUCAUGAUUAUCCUGUAUUUGGUGUUCCACAUUUUUAUAAAGUUGAAGAGUGUUGAUUGCGUAAUAAUCCCAAUUGUACACAUUGAUAUCUGAAUGCAUGGGACUCUUUUCCGACCGAAAUUUGUUGCAUCCUACAUUAAAAGAUUCUUCUGGCUGCUUGUGAUGUAGGGAAACAUUCUGUAUAGAUUUCCAUCUCUGCAGCGCACAGCUUCUUCCCAGCGAACUGGAAGGAAAGAAUAUGUGGGUAGAAAAUGGACUGAUUGGGUUGGUGGAGUACAAAAGUUCUUCGAAGAAAGGAAAUGGCAGUUUAGGUAGCAUUUUCUGUAUAAUCAUUAAUUUGUAAAGAAUUUAACGGCUAGCCCUAAUGUUUGCUCACUCUGCAGUAAAGCUAGUGCAUCAGAGAGAGCAAUGGUUAUUGGAUUGGGCGGGCUUAAUCUUUUUGGUGUUAUCAUUCUUGGGACGAUGUUAAAGUAUGUUGCUAUCAUAAUAGAUAUAUCAGCUCUCUCUCUCUCUCUCUCUCUGACUUAGUUUUUUUGUUUAUUGGUUAUGAAAGGGAUUACACUACUCUACCAAGUGGGUUCAUUAAGUUUGUUGCUGACAUAUUUCCCUUGCUUCAGGUACUAUUGACCGUUUGAUCCUACUUAGUUUCUUUUAUUUUUGUUUUACCUUUUAUUUUUGCCUAAAGUUAGUAGAUUUUCAUGUCAAGGUAAUAGUAGAUUGACGGAGACUUGACUGUGGUUGUUUCCCUGGAUAUGUUCUAUUCACAUUAUUCUGAAUAGCAAAGUUCUGUGUUGAAUAUAUGGCAGUGAAGGUGGCGUUUCCUGUUGCAUGUGGUUUAUUUUCAAAGAAAAGCUCUUCCGUGGGUUUUCUACAAUGUUGCCCUCUGUACCCACCAGAAGUAGUUAUACUUUUUGGACCAAAUUAAUUGUUGAUUUUAAUAGACAGUUUCUCGUAUGCUCUCUCUCUCUCUCUCUCUCUCUCAUGUUCUGUUUUCAUGUUUUCUUGUACUGCCUUAAAUCACUGCAACAAGCUCAUUCUCUUACUGUGACCAUACUUAUCUGCACUAUAUCGGUUUGUGCUACUUCGUGGCUCUUUAUGUUACUUUCACAGAAUGUUUUAGAACUGGUGUCCAUAUAAUUUUCUAUAUGCCAAGUCUUAGUUGAACCGUUGAACCUGUGAACUUUCUAGGCAUGUUGCUGAUUGGGGUUUUGAAUCAUUUCACAAAUGCAUCUCAUCAACUUCUUGAUACAUGUACACCGUGUAUUGGUACUUUCCAGUUUUCACAAAGAUAUUUCAGAGCAGUUCUCUGCGGUUUAUACUCUCUAUCUAUUUAUACAUUGCAUUGUGACUUGAAAUAUCUGCAGAUCUAUGCUGGUUCAUUUUUUGCAAUUCCGGUGAUCCGUUGGUUGCUCCUGCGCAAGAGGAAUGGUGAAAUUGAGAGAAGAAACCAAACCAGGCUAAAGUUUGCUCAAGCACUUGAAUUGCCAGAUAUUUCAUUGAGACGGAAGGUAAAUAAGAUUGUCGUUGUGCUCUGUACAGAAGUUAUUAUUCUUUUUCUGGCAAAGGUUACUAUUCCUUUAGUCAAUGAUCUACCAUUGUCCUAACAUAGUUUCUGUUUUUGAGUUCAUUCUCGGUAUGGUAUUUUUCAUUAGAAUUUGUAAGUUAUACGUACCUAACCUUCUCUGAUCCUCUAGACACAGUAGCUUUUGCAUUUGCUUUCCCUUUGUCUGCUUAACAUAAUGAACACUUAAGUGAUGUUGCUAUAUAAGUGAUUCCUAAGCAAGAGCGAUAGCUCAAAACGUCAGAAAAACUAAUCUUUACAAAAUUGAAGAUUCAAAUGUCAAGAUAAGAAAAGGAAACAAUUCCCACAUGCACAAAGGUUACUUCAAAAUUGAGAGGAAACUCAAAUCUCUUGAUGUUUCCAAGCAACUGGGUUGGUUGCCUUUACUAUGCCAAUGUUUGGGAGUCCCAGCUCAUCAUCAACACAGGCAUAUACCGCAGCAAUAUGAUAUAUGGCUUUGGGCUGCAGUACUUGAUUUUCACAGUAACUUGCUUUCUUAAAAACCAUGUUUAGCUAACAUUUAGCGUCUGUACUUUUGUAGCUUUUAAGUGCUCGGGAGAUGGCACAAAGAACAUUCAUCGGACAGGAUCGGAUAGUCUAUAGCACUGACAAGGACUUUAUCGAGCAAGACUAUGAUGCCCGUGACUGGGAAAGGAGGUUUCGAGAGAAUGAGAAAUCGGAGUAAAGACAGAUUCUGAAGUUCGUUCAUCAUGCACAGUAAGUCCAUACUCGAUUGAUACAGGAGGAGAGCGGAUGAAAGCACGUCGUGGUUGCCGAGGAAUUUGCGUAAUGGCUUGCAUUCUCCGCGUAGGAAACGCCCCACCCACACCAUAUAUUUUUUGUACCUGUGAUAUGUCACUUGGCGAUCUUGGGCCAAUGUUGGCUCCUGGAUGGGCUGCUUACACAGUGACCUGCCAAUUGCCAGUGUGGUGGUCUGUAUCUCGAUAAAAUUAAAUGUUAGUUUGGGCCUUUUGUAUGUUAGCGAUAAAUGCACUAAAAGUUUUAGAAUUUCUAAUGAAAAUAUAAUCAAAUUCUAAAAUUUUCA